rnacentral:rRNA from 1 species
GAUGGCUCCAUUCUACGGCUGGACCACCAUGAACACACCUUGAUCUCAGAAGCUAAGUGGGCUCAGGCCUGGUUAGUACUUGGAUGAGAGAAUCUAAUCCCUAGCUGUCC